UGGGGAAUAUUGGACAAUGGGCGAAAGCCUGAUCCAGCCAUGCCGCGUGUGUGAAGAAGGUCUUCGGAUUGUAAAGCACUUUAAGUUGGGAGGAAGGGCAUUAACCUAAUACGUUAGUGUUUUGACGUUACCGACAGAAUAAGCACCGGCUAACUCUGUGCCAGCGGCCGCGGUAAUACAGAGGGUGCAAGCGUUAAUCGGAAUUACUGGGCGUAAAGCGCGCGUAGGUGGUUUGUUAAGUUGGAUGUGAAAUCCCCGGGCUCAACCUGGGAACUGCAUUCAAAACUGACUGACUAGAGUAUGGUAGAGGGUGGUGGAAUUUCCUGUGUAGCGGUGAAAUGCGUAGAUAUAGGAAGGAACACCAGUGGCGAAGGCGACCACCUGGACUAAUACUGACACUGAGGUGCGAAAGCGUGGGGAGCAAACA
rnacentral:rRNA from 1 species